rnacentral:rRNA from 1 species
ACGAACGCUGGCGGCAUGCCUAACACCUGCCAGUCGCACGAGACCUUCGGGUCUAGUGGCGCACGGGUGCGUAACGCGUGGGAACCUGCCCUUAGGUUCGGAAUAACUCCCCGAAAGGGGUGCUAAUACCGGAUAAUGUCUUCGGACCAAAGAUUUAUCGCCUUUGGAUGGGCCCGCGUUGGAUUAGCUAGUUGGUAGGGUAAAAGCCUACCAAGGCGACGAUCCAUAGCUGGUCUGAGAGGAUGAUCAGCCACACUGGGACUGAGACACGGCCCAGACUCCUACGGGAGGCAGCAGUGGGGAAUAUUGGACAAUGGGCGAAGGCCUGAUCCAGCAAUGCCGCGUGAGUGAUGAAGGCCUUAGGGUUGUAAAGCUCUUUUACCCGGGAUGAUAAUGACAGUACCGGGAGAAUAAGCUCCGGCUAACUCCGUG